rnacentral:rRNA from 1 species
UACGGAGGGUGCAAGCGUUAUCCGGAUUUACUGGGUUUAAAGGGUGCGUAGGUGGAUUGGGAAGUCAGUGGUGAAAUACUACAGCGCAACUGUGGAACUGCCAUUGAUACUAUCAAUCUUGAAUACAGUGGAGGCGGGCGGAAUGUGUCAUGUAGCGGUGAAAUGCUUAGAUAUGACACAGAACACCAAUUGCGAAGGCAGCUUGCUACACUGUCAUUGACACUGAGGCACGGAAGCGUGGGGAUCAAACAGG